GCCCUGGUGGCACAGUGUUUAAGUGCUUGGCUGCUAACCAAAAAGUUGGUGGUUCGAACCCACCUAGCAGCG
rnacentral:tRNA from 1 species